AGCCAUGUAUACGCGUACGUCAUGCCCUCAUUCUCUGUGCGCGCGCCCGCGAGAGGAAGGGCAAGCAGCGUUCAGCUUGAAAUUUCACCCAUUCUCCGCGGCGCGUAGCAUUGC
rnacentral:lncRNA from 1 species